rnacentral:rRNA from 1 species
UACGUAGGUGGCAAGCGUUAUCCGGAAUUAUUGGGCGUAAAGCGCGCGUAGGCGGUUUCUUAAGUCUGAUGUGAAAGCCCACGGCUCAACCGUGGAGGGUCAUUGGAAACUGGGAAACUUGAGUGCAGAAGAGGAGAGUGGAAUUCCAUGUGUAGCGGUGAAAUGCGCAGAGAUAUGGAGGAACACCAGUGGCGAAGGCGGCUCUCUGGUCUGUAACUGACGCUGAUGUGCGAAAGCGUGGGGAUCAAACAGGAUUAGAUACCCGGUAGUCC